rnacentral:lncRNA from 1 species
GAAAACGUUAGUCUGGUAUUUUUCAUCAAAACUUGAUGUGAAAUCGCUUCAUGUUAUGUUCAUCAAAUAUUUGUUUUAAGGAUCUGAUCCCAUCUUAACUCAAAGGAUGGAGCAAGGAGAAAUCAAACUUAACAAGAAGUUGAGGAUUUGAAAAAAGGACAGCAUUCAUGUUUUGAUUUCCUGGAUUAAUGGCUCUGGACGGAGUCCAGUUAAGAUUUAGACAGCAGCCAAGAGCCAUUCUUCCAGCCCCACACUGUGCAGACCUGGGAGAAAGGAGGAAGUGGUCCUCAGCCUAAAGAAUUUAAACUCUCAGAAAAGUGGUGAUGAAAUAGAAGUCAUGCUAAUUUCAAGUGUUAAUGAAGCAGAAUCCAUCCUGAUGUGAAGUGGCACAAGAUAUGAGUGUGGACAUUGGAGGUAAUUCUCUCCUGGAGCCUCACUCCAUGAGCACUCGCUCCACGAAAAGCUGCUUUGGUUUCAGAGGGAGUGAAGCUGAUCCGGAGGUGUUGACAGAUUUGUGGCAGUGCUGCCUGGGCCCUGCAGGAUGCAGCUCUAGCUACCCGAGGAUCCUCUGUGACACAGCCACAAUGGGACCAGACUUUAUGGUCUAUUGUGUUAACAAUCUGUGAAUUAAAGCAUCC